rnacentral:rRNA from 1 species
GUGGCGACGGUGUGGGUGCAGGCGCUGACGGGGACAAACUUCGACUUCUCGGCCUACUCGUCGGCGCUCAAGGCCUCCAUGGGUGUCUCCCAGCAGUCGCUCAACUACCUGGCCACCGCCUCCGACCUCGGCAAGGCGUUCGGCUGGUCGUCGGGGCUGGCGCUGCUCUACAUGCCGCUGCCGGCGGUGCUGUUCCUGUCCGCCGCGCUCGGCCUCGCCUCCUACGCGCUCCAGUACGGCAUCCACCGCCACGCCAUGACUCACGGACGAGGCUGGCUCGUCACCACCAGGAGCUCCGGCUCGGGGGAAAGGGUCGCCGGCCUGGGAGGGGAUUGGGGAGAGUCGCCGGCUCAGGGGGAGGGUCGCCGGCCUGGGAGGGGAGGGGGGUCGCCGGCUCUGGAGGGGAGGGAGGUCGCCGGCUCGGGACGGGAGACAUAG